CCAUGGCGUCGUCGUCUUGCGCGCCGCCGCCCGCUUGCGUGCUGCUGCCACCAACUGCCGAUGGAUCCACAGCUACCCGCGAUCCGUUCUCGCCUCUUCUCCCCUCUCCACGAGAACAAUGAGAAAUCAGUGCAAGUGUCUGCGGCGAUGGUGUGCCCCAAGUAGGAGUUUAUUGGAUUUUGGAUGCACGUUGGGAAAAGCUAGGGAAGGAAGGCUGGAACAAGGGCGCCAGCUGCAUAAGCGAAAGCAGCGGCGGCAAGAACAACAAGAUCGGACUCCUCCCCAAGAAACCAGGUCAAUGGUUAGCCUACCUUCAAUUAGCCAUGAUAGUAUUAGCCUGCACUGGAUACUGGAUGCUUGGCAAUUCUCUGUUUUCAGAUAGCUCUUGCAAAUAACAGCAAGGCGAUCGUUGUCACAGUUCAAGAACCUUAUCAUCUCUUUAUUGGGGCAUGUUUUAUUUGGGGGCACAUUAGUAUUUGCUUUGUCAGGAAAAAAGAUAUGACUGCGCAAUGGUGUUUCAGAUUGUUGAAGCUUGAACUUUUGACUGCGCAAUAGUGAUUUUUGCUCUUUUGUACUAGUUCACUAAAUUAUAGAUGGGUGACAUUUUGCUGGUUGUUCUGCAGACGGAUAGGAAAAUGAAGCAUGAGAACUACUUUCCCAUUAGCAUUGCUGAGUGUUGUCGAUUUAGCCAUAUUUCAGAAACAGUUGUGUUUCAUUUAUCCAUUGAUAUGUAAUAAGGAUAAAGUUGUUUUUAAACAAAAAAGUAUGCUUUUAUUCUUUGUCUU